rnacentral:rRNA from 1 species
GUCUACGGCCAUGCCACCCUGAACAAGCCCGAUGUCUGAUCUCAGAGCUAAGCAGGGUCAGGUCUGGUUAGUAUUUGCAUGGGAGACCACCUAGGAAGACCAGGUGCUGUAGGCA